UACGUAGGGACCGAGCGUUGUCCGGAAUCAUUGGGCGUAAAGAGCGUGUAGGCGGCUCGCUAAGUCUUGCGUGAAAUCUCGGGGCUCAACCCCGAGCGGUCGUGAGAAACUGGCGGGCUAGAGUGCGGGAGAGGAGGGUGGAAUUCCUGGUGUAGCGGUGAAAUGCGCAGAUAUCAGGAAGAACACCCGUGGCGAAGGCGGCUCUCUGGAACGCAACUGACGCUGAGACGCGAAAGCGUGGGGAGCAAACAGG
rnacentral:rRNA from 1 species